rfam:Faecalibacterium prausnitzii SL3/3 draft genome.
UUUUUGGGAUACUGGGCGCGGGUCCUCCUCCUCCGGCUGUUCUCCUUCACAGCUAUGACCCAUGCGCCGCACAGGCAGUGUCCCGCUUCGUGUGCAAAAGGGCUCGUC